rnacentral:tRNA from 1 species
UUGAUUAGAAGCCAAAAAGAGGCCUAUUAUUGUUAAUAAUAUCAUUGAAGAAACCACUUCCUAUCAAG